rnacentral:rRNA from 1 species
GACGAACGCUGGCGGCGUGCUUAACACAUGCAAGUCGAGCGGAGCGGCGAACGGGUGAGUAACGCGUGAGUAACUGCCCCCCUCUCUGGGAUAACAGUUGGAAACGGCUGCUAAUACCGGAUAGUGGGGGAUGACUCGCGUCCUAUCAGCUUGUUGGUGGGGUAGUGGCCUAAAAAGGCGACAACGGGGAGCCGGCCUGAGGGGGCGACCGACCACAUUGGGCUGGGCUACGUCACAAACUCCUACGGGAGGCAGCAGUGGGGAAUAUUGCACACUGGGGGAAACCCUGAUGCAGCAACGCCGCGUGCGGGAUGACGGCCUUCGGGUUGUAACCCGCUUUCAGCCAUGACGCGGUGGUGGCAGAAGAGGCGCCAGCUAGCUACGUGCCAGCAGCCGCGGUAAUAC